rnacentral:rRNA from 1 species
CCCGCACAAGCAGUGGAGUAUGUGGUUUAAUUCGAAGCAACGCGAAGAACCUUACCAGGGCUUGACAUCCCUUGAAGCAGCUAGAGAUAGCUGUGUCCUUCGGGACAAGGAGACAGGUGGUGCAUGGUUGUCGUCAGCUCGUGUCGUGAGAUGUUGGGUUAAGUCCCGCAACGAGCGCAACCCUCGACCUUAGUUGCCAGCAUUCAGUUGGGCACUCUAAGGUGACUGCCGGCUAAAAGUCGGAGGAAGGUGGGAUGACGUCAAAUCAUCAUGCCCCUUAUGACCUGGGCUACACACGUGCUACAAUGGUUGGUACAACGAGUUGCGAGUCGGUGACGGCGAGCUAAUCUCUUAAAGCCAAUCUCAGUUCGGAUUGUAGGCUGCAACUCGCCUACAUGAAGUCGGAAUCGCUAGUAAUCGCGGAUCAGCACGCCGCGGUGAAUACGUUCCCGGGCCUU